GGAAGGAUCAUUAACAAGCUGUGGGAGAUCAAUUUGAUCUCACACCUGGCCAACCUUGUUAACCUUAAAUAUAUUACUUUGGUGAGCCCUGGCGGCUUUAGGGUUUAUACUAUAUAUAUUUCCCAGACCAGCGCUCACCAAAGUCAAACCCUAAACCCUUGAUUGUUUCUGCUGUCUGAGCAUGCAAGUGCAAAAUUUAGUUAAAAAACUUUCAACAACGGAUCUCUUGGUUCUGGCAUCGAUGAAGAACGCAGCGAAAUGCGAUAAGUAAUGUGAAUUGCAGAAUUCCGCGAAUCAUCGAAUUUUUGAACGCAUAUUGCGCCUUCUGGUAUUCCAGAGGGCAUGCCUGUCCGAGCGUCAUUACGUUUCUUCAAGCCUGGCUUGUGUGUUGAGCAUCUGUUCUUUUGAUGGACAUGCUUGAAAUGCAGUGGCAAUGGUGUAUCUGGUAGCCCAAGCAUUAGAAAUCCAUCUGCUUCGUUGGCUCCAGUCAGCAUUUAGCCUCAAACCCUUAGGGGUCUAAAUCUGAUUCUGACCUCGGAUCAGGCAAGAAUACCCGCUGAACUUAAGCAUAUCAAUAAGCGGAGGAAAAGAAACCAACAGGGAUUGCCUUAGUAACGGCGAGUGAAGCGGCAAAAGCUCAAAUUUGAAAUCUGGCUUUCUGACCCGAAGCCCGAGUUGUAAUUUGUAGAGGAUGCUUUGGGUGUGGCUGCGGUCUAAGUCCCCUGGAACGGGGUAUCAUAGAGGGUGAGAAUCCCGUCUGGGACCGCCAGUCACGUCUAUGUAAAGCUCCUUCGACGAGUCGAGUUGUUUGGGAAUGCAGCUCUAAAUGGGUGGUAAAUUUCAUCUAAAGCUAAAUAUUGGCCAGAGACCGAUAGCGCACAAGUAGAGUGAUCGAAAGAUGAAAAGCACUUUGAAAAGAGAGUUAAAUAGCAUGUGAAAUUGUUGAAAGGGAAGCGCUUGCGACCAGACCCGGCCGCAAUUGUUCAGCCAGGCUUGUUGGCCGGUGCACUCUUUUGCGGUCGAGCCAGCGUCGGUUCUGACGGUUGGUUAAAGGCUCUCGGAAUGUGUCGUCUCCCGGGGCGUCUUAUAGCUGAGGGUGCAAUGCAGCCUGUUGGGACUGAGGAACGCGCUACGGCACGGACGCUGGCAUAAUGGUCGUAAGCGACCCGUCUUGAAACACGGACCAAGGAGUCUAACAUCCACGCGAGUGUUCGGGUGUUAAAACCCGUGCGCGCAGUGAAAGCGAACGGAGGUGGGAACCUUUAGAUGACCUCUAAAGGUGCACCAUCGACCGAUCCUGAUGUCUUCGGAUGGAUUUGAGUAAGAGCGUGGCUGUUGGGACCCGAAAGAUGGUGAACUAUGCCUGAAUAGGGUGAAGCCAGAGGAAACUCUGGUGGAGGCUCGCAGCGGUUCUGACGUGCAAAUCGAUCGUCAAAUUUGGGUAUAGGGUGAGUUAUCUCAUUUCCUUUUUAGGGAUUAUUGGUCUGGUUAGGUGUUCGAGGAUUAUUAGGUAUAGCACAAAGCUAAUUUGGGGUUAAUGUUUAGGGCGAAAGACUUAUCGAACCAUCUGGUAGCUGGUUCCUGC
rnacentral:misc_RNA from 1 species